GGUGAACGCUGGCGGCAGGCCUAAUACAUGCAAGUCGAACGGCAGCACAGCAGAGCUUGCUCUGUGGUGGCGAGUGGCGGACGGGGUGAGGAAUACAUGGGAAUCUGCCCAGUCGUGGGGGAUAACGUAGGGAAACUUACGCUAAUACCGCAUGCGCCCUUCGGGGAAAGCCGGGGACCUUCGGGCCUGGCGCGAUUGGAUGAGCCCAUGUCGGAUUAGCUAGUUGGCGGGGUAAUGGCCCACCAAGGCGACGAUCCGUAGCUGGUCUGAGAGGAUGAUCAGCCACACUGGAACUGAGACACGGUCCAGACUCCUACGGGAGGCAGCAGUAGGGAAUAUUGGACAAUGGGCGCAAGCCUGAUCCAGCCAUGCCGCGUGAGUGAAGAAGGCCCUCGGGUUGUAAAGCUCUUUUGUCCGGAAGAAAGCGCCGGGUUAAUACCCUGGUGUCCUGACGGUACCGGAGAAUAAGCACCGGCUAACUUCGUGCCAGCAGCCGCGGUAAU
rnacentral:rRNA from 1 species